rnacentral:rRNA from 1 species
AAAGUCGUAACAAGGUUUCCGUAGGUGAACCUGCGGAAGGAUCAUUAUUGAAUAAACCUGAUGUGGCUGUUAGCUGGCUUUUCGAAGCAUGUGCUCGUCCGUCAUCUUUAAUCUCUCCACCUGUGCACAUUUUGUAGUCUUGGAUACCUCUCGAGGAAACUCGGAUUUUAGGAUCGCCGUGCUGUAAAAGUCAGCUUUCCUCUCAUUUCCAAGACUAUGUUUUUAUAUACACCAAAGUAUGUUUAAAGAAUGUCAUCAAUAGGAACUUGUUUCCUAUAAAAUUAUACAACUUUCAGCAACGGAUCUCUUGGCUCUCGCAUCGAUGAAGAACGCAGCGAAAUGCGAUAAGUAAUGUGAAUUGCAGAAUUCAGUGAAUCAUCGAAUCUUUGAACGCACCUUGCGCUCCUUGGUAUUCCGAGGAGCAUGCCUGUUUGAGUGUCAUUAAAUUCUCAACCUUCCAGCUUUUAUUAGCUUGGUUAGGCUUGGAUGUGGGGGUUGUAGGCUUCAUUAAUGAGGUCAGCUCUCCUUAAAUGCAUUAGCGGAACUUUUGUGGACCGUCUAUUGGUGUGAUAAUUAUCUACGCCGUGGAUGUGAAGCAGCUUUAUGAAGUUCAGCUUCUAAUCGUCCAUUGACUUGGACAAUUUUUGACAAUUUGACCUCAAAUCAGGUAGGACUACCCGCUGAACUUAA